rnacentral:rRNA from 1 species
AUUGAACGCUGGCGGCAGGCCUAACACAUGCAAGUCGAGCGAGAGGCGGACGGGUGAGUAAUGUAUGGGAACUGCCCACUAGAGGGGGAUAACUACUGGAAACGGUGGCUAAUACCGCAUACUAUCGGAUAACCCAUAUGGGAUUAGCUAGUAGGUGGGGUAAAGGCUCACCAAGGCGACGAUCCCUAGCUGGUCUGAGAGGCUGAUCAGCCACACUGGGACUGAGACACGGCCCAGACUCCUACGGAGGCAGCAGUGGGUAAUAUUGCACAAUGGGCGCAAGCCUGAUGCAGCCAUGCCGCGUGUAUGAUGAAGGCCUUAGGGUUGUAAAGUACUUUCAGCGGGGAGGCGUUACCCGCAGAAGAAGCACCGGCUAACUCCGUGCCAGCAGCCGCGGUAAUAC